UGUGUGGUGUGGUGUCUAACAAUGGAAUGGACGUUGAGCGAUAACGCUCUCAAAACCUUUGCACGAUGCAUCACUUGUCUCGCACGUGUCGGAAACGAGCUCGCAAUUCAAGCCUCGUCCUCUCAGCUUCUUUUCCACACUAUUAAUUCCUCACGCUCUGCCUAUCAAUCCUUAAGUUUCAAUCCUGGCUUCUUUGAUGCCUAUGCGGUUUCCAGUAACCUCGUGCAAUGCAGUGUGCUUCUCAAGGCUGUUUGUGCUGUUCUUAGGACCCCUAUUGCAAAUAUCGAUCAUUUGACCGUGAAACUGCCUGAUCCAGAUGCUUCCAAAGUGCAGUGGAUUUUGGAUUGCUAUAGUGGUUUGAGAAAAACCUAUUGGAUUACUUGCAAUGUAGAACCUGACAUACAGCACUUGUCCCUUGAUAGGCAAAAAUUUCCAAGCAACUUUGUUGUGAGACCUCGAGAUCUUAACAGGUUACUUGCUAAUUUUCAGUCAUCACUUCAAGAGAUUACUAUCAUUGCAACAGAACCUGCUUCUCUAGCUUCUGAUUCUACAAAUGAAAUUGGUGGAAAGGCUGUAGAAUUUCGAAGUUAUAUUGAUCCAACCAAAGACAAUGAUACCUUGCUGCACACCCAACUGUGGAUAGAUCCUAAGGAGGAAUUUUUGCAGUAUCAUCAUACUGGAGAGCCAAUAGAUGUAACUUUCAGUGUAAAAGAACUCAAGGCAUUUAUUUCAUUUUGUGAGGGCUGUGAAGCUGAUAUUCAUUUACAUUUUGAGAAAGCUGGCGAACCUAUUCUUAUGGCACCUAAAUUUGGUUUGGAAGAUGGGUCUCACUCAAAUUUUGAUGCUACCCUUGUACUGGCAACCAUGUUAAUAUCUCAACUUCACGAAGGCACUGCCUCAGAACCUCCUGUUGAGGCCACCAGAACACAUGCUCAUACUGAAGAAAGAAAUGGAUCUGACAUGCAGCAAGAGAACUGCAGAAUGAAUGCAUCAGAUCUUCCAUCUGACCACACCCGUAUUUGGUCGGACCUCUCAGCAAGUGCAGUUAAAAAUGUUAGUGUCUUAGAGGAACGGCAGGCACAAGGAGAAACAAUUUUGAAUGAUAAUCAGCAAAGAGAGAUUCAAAGGAUUAGCGCAAUACAAAUUUCAAGAGUAACAUCAGUUGCUGGAAAUAAUCCCAUUGGUUCCAAUAUGUAUCCUCAAUGUUACUGUUUGCCCCAUUUUGUUAACAUUUCUAUCAUGAUUUACUGUCCCCAAAAUGGUGUGGCCACAAAUGUUAUAAUUGCUUUCUUUACAUCGGUUUCCCGGUUGAAUUAUCAGAAAGCAGUUAUGAAAUAUAGGAUGCUCAAACCAGACCCUAGGAGUGAAACCUUUGAUUUGAAUUUUAGACUUGUUUGCAUGCUUUAUUCCCUUUCAUUUAAAGCAAUUUCUAAGUGCAUCCUUCUCACUACUUUGUUGAGGUGGCUGGAUUCAUAAGUAAUAGUUGUUAGUCUCUACCUUAACUGAUAUCUCAGCUGCCAACCAACUGAAAAGGAUCAUGGACGAGAGCCUCAAGAUAUGACGCGAGAAAACGAUCAAGCAUUUUCACAACAUCACCCCAGUAAUUGGGUAGAUGCUGAAGAGGAUGAAGAAGACGACGAAGACGAAAAUGAGC